CUUCUCCCUGGCCGCCGCCGCCUCUGCCUCCUCCCUCCUCAGCCUCUCCAUCUCCACCUGACGACAACACGAGGGUGACAUUACGCGAACGACUUUACCAUGACCGCUCUCCACCCGUGUGCCUUCCUGUUAGAGGCGUAGCAGGAGCCCAGCUUCCACCCACAGUCCACCUACACGUUUCCACGGCUUCAGGAUCAGGAGAAGCGCAAAUGACGAGCGCGAUGAAACAGCUAAUUAUUCAGAUUAUCUCCUCCGGGUAAUGAAAUUGUGCCUUAAUGUUCUGGCAAUUGUGUGUCUCCACUUGAUCCAGAAUGCGGCAGCGAGGCUUCUGACCGACACUAAACACCUAUUACUUCAGUCCUGGCUGUAUAUGUACCCGGGCUUCCAGCAGCUUCAGAAUUGACAGAUCCGCUGGUCUUCUCACCUUGCUCUGAUUGCUUCAGGGACCUCUGUAGUUGAAGCAGCUGAGUGGCCGACUUAUCCUGGCUGUCUAGUAGUUCCUGCUGGAAUUCCCGCAGGGCGGCGUGCACUAUGUCCACAUCCAGAUGUUCCUCUUCUCCACGAGACAAGGACAAUACACAUCCAUCCGUCUCAUUGUCUCCCCCUAACCAGAGAACACACUUUUUUUGAGCCAAACAUAUGCAAACAUUUGCCACAUGUUAUUAUGAACAGCCAUGACAAUACCUUUUACUUGCAGGCAGUUCUUCCGGGGAGAGGGGGACCGUUUGCGGGACGCAGGUGAACCGGAAAGCCUCGCUUGGUGGGUGCCGGCAGCGCGGCACAGAGCUGAAUACAGCCCUGCCAACUUGAGCUCCAGGUCCCUGCGUUGUGCAUCGCUGGCGCCCAGCCGCUCCUGCAGGCCCUGGACUUUGCUCUCUGCGAGGCCGACCUGCUCGGCGAGUUGCUUGAUCUGGAUGCCGGCGUCGUCUAGCGCUUCCUCCAGCUGUGCUGUUGCUCCGC
ensembl:lncRNA